UGUACUUCUUCUUUUCAUAUACUCUGAUUUUAUUACAGCAUUCUAUUCUAGGAAUUCAGAAAAUAUUGAUUGACCCUGAGAGGCCAGAUCACACCCAAUAGAAAGUUGCCAAACCUUUAUUUCACCAUCUAAUGAACCACUAAAAACAGAAACGACACCGUUAGGAGAACUUUGACUUUCAUCAUCAUCAUUAUACUCUUGAAUUGCCGCUAACGACUUAACCGGUUUCCGGUGACCAUCAAGAACACCAACACAACAAAACGAACCAUCAUAAACCCGUUUCCAAAUCCUAACCGUCCGAUCAGCAGAACCACUCAGCAACAAAUCAGAAACGUUGAUCAAACAAAGUAUCGCUUUCUGAUGCCCCCUCAAAGCCCCACUCACAACCAUAUGAUUCGCACUAUCCUCUCGUUCCCAUACUAAUAUUGAACGAUCGCAUGCACCUGAAAAUAGCACCGAACCGUCGUCGUUUAGGGCUAAAGCAUUAACCGCUGAUUUAUGCUUCUCCAAAGUUGCAACUAGAACGUGCUUUUUUUCACCGACGGGUUUCGCCCAAACGCGGAUUCGUUUAUCGGAUGAUCCUGUGUACACUGUUCCAUCGUUAGAAACUGCAACCGCGUUGACCGCAUCUUCGUGUGCUUUGAGGGAUUCUAAGCAACGAAGAUCAGAGAUUCUCCAUAUUUUGAGUGUUUUGUCCCAUGAAACGGAGUAGAUAACGCCGUUUGAAACUGCAAGGUCGGUGACGGCGUCGGCAUGUUCAAUCCAGAGACGUUUUACGUGGCGACGGAUGUUGAUGUAGUUACUUGGGAGGAGGAAACGGCGGAAACGGUCGUUGACAGUGGGAAGAGUGGUUAACUUCCGGUGGUUGUUGUUGUUUUUGUGGUGGUGGUGGUUCCAGACGCGGAUUUUACAGUCUUGGUGAGUGGUGAAGACCAUGUCUUUAGAGAAGGCAAUGGUUUUAGUUGAACCGGAGGAAAUGGAUUUGGUGUUGAAGGUAUGGAGAUAAGUGCACGUUUGACGAUCGUAGACGUUGAUUUGAUUUUCCGUAGCUGCGUAGAGGAGGUUGUUGUGGAGGGCAAGCGAUGUGAUAGGGCGGGAAGAGUGGGGUGUGAGAGAGGUGAUGCAGUGGUAGGAGACGGAGAAGUUGUUGAGGUUUUGAGAAGAGAGUUUUUGGAGAGAUGGAACUGAUGGAAGUGUUUGUAUUGAGUAGUUGCUAUAAAGAGUUGAGGUGCUGUCGUCGGAGGUUAGGGUUGAAGAAGAAGAAGUGCUUGAGUCUGAUGCAUGUUGUUGUUUCUUGGAUGGAUGCAGUGAGAUGGUUGAGUUGUGGGUGGCCGUGGCGCAGUUGUUGGCGGAGGAGCAUGUGUCUAACAACCACCGUAACCUCAUGAUAAAUUAGUUGAUAGAUAGAGAUAGUUUGAAUAUGGAAACUAUGUUGUGAAGGAUAGAAAGUAACGCAGAAAAUAUAGAUGAAAUUAUGAUAGUGAAAUGAGAUGAUGAGGAAAGCUUAGGGUAAUGGUGUGAAGCUAAGAAAGGGGACAAAAAAGGAGCGAUGGGUCCAAGGUUAAUUAUUUUCUUAAUAAGACGGGUUGGGGUAUCUUUCUUUUUGUUAUUUUUUUCCUCUUAGAGACAGAGAUGGAGUGAGCAUUUAGUGAGGUUGCCGGAGGAUAUAUGAUCAAUUAAAAGCCAACUUGACAGAUGGGAAAAGGUUAUUAUUGGAUAAUUCGAUAUUGCUGUUGAGGUAUCGUCCACUAGAAUUGUAUCUCGUUUAUAAUGAGUAGAACUGUACUACUGUUCGAAGAUCGGUAUUAUUUGGUGCAGUUAAACGUCAUAAAUUUAAGAAAAAAAUGUUAUUUGGACGCUUAUACAUAUAUACAUUGAGAGAGAAAAAUAAUGAGUGAUAUAUACCAAAACGUAUCAUGUUGACAAUAAAAGAAAGAGAGUAGAGACGAGAGAGAAAUUUUUUUUUAAAAAGUGUUGAAACGUUAAAGAUGUUCAAAUCAUUGCUUUGAUUUUUAAUGUUAUACACUCAAUGUCAAGUACUAAAACGUAUUUGCAAAUAUAUUUA
rnacentral:lncRNA from 1 species